rnacentral:rRNA from 1 species
GUGUCAGCAGCCGCGGUAAGACAGGGGGUGCAAGCGUUGCUCGGAAUCAUUGGGCGUAAAGCGCACGUAGGCGGUCUCGUAAGUCGGGUGUGAAAGCCCUCAGCCUAACUGAGGAACUGCGCCCGAUACUGCAAGGCUAGAGGAUGGGAGGGGAGAGUGGAAUUCCUGGUGGAGCGGUGAAAUGCGUAGAUAUCAGGAGGAAUACCAGUGGCGAAGGCGACUCUCUGGUCCAUUCCUGACGCUGAGGUGCGAGAGCUAGGGGAGCAAACGGGAUUAGAAACCCCCGUAGUCC